rnacentral:rRNA from 1 species
UACGGAGGGUGCAAGCGUUAUCCGGAUUCACUGGGUUUAAAGGGUGCGUAGGAGGGCAGGUAAGUCAGUGGUGAAAUCUCCAAGCUUAACUUGGAACUGCCGUUGAUACUAUCUGUCUUGAAUACCGUGGAGGUGAGCGGAAUAUGUCAUGUAGCGGUGAAAUGCUUAGAUAAUGACAUAGAACACCAAUUGACGAAGGCAGCUC